rnacentral:rRNA from 1 species
GUAAAGCACUUUAAGCGAGGAGGAGGCUACUUUAGUUAAUACCUAGAGAUAGUGGACGUUACUCGCAGAAUAAGCACCGGCUAACUCUGUGCCAGCAGCCGCGGUAAUACAGAGGGUGCAAGCGUUAAUCGGAUUUACUGGGCGUAAAGCGCGCGUAGGCGGCUAAUUAAGUCAAAUGUGAAAUCCCCGAGCUUAACUUGGGAAUUGCAUUCGAUACUGGUUAGCUAGAGUGUGGGAGAGGAUGGUAGAAUUCCAGGUGUAGCGGUGAAAUGCGUAGAGAUCUGGAGGAAUACCGAUGGCGAAGGCAGCCAUCUGGCCUAACACUGACGCUGAGGUGCGAAAGCAUGGGGAGCAAACAGGAUUAGAUACCCUGGUAGUCCAUGCCGUAAACGAUGUCUACUAGCCGUUGGGGCCUUUGAGGCUUUAGUGGCGCAGCUAACGCGAUAAGUAGACCGCCUGGGGAGUACGGUCGCAAGACUAAAACUCAAAUGAAUUGACGGGGGCCCGCACAAGCGGUGGAGCAUGUGGUUUAAUUCGAUGCAACGCGAAGAACCUUACCUGGCCUUGACAUAGUAAGAACUUUCCAGAGAUGGAUUGGUGCCUUCGGGAACUUACA